rnacentral:rRNA from 1 species
CAGUCGCCACGGUAAUACGUAGGGUGCGAGCGUUAAUCGGAAUUACUGGGCGUAAAGCGUGCGCAGGCGGUUGUGUAAGACAGGUGUGAAAUCCCCGGGCUUAACCUGGGAACUGCGCUUGUGACUGCACAGCUAGAGUAUGGCAGAGGGGGGUGGAAUUCCACGUGUAGCAGUGAAAUGCGUAGAGAUGUGGAGGAACACCGAUGGCGAAGGCAGCCCCCUGGGCCAAUACUGACGCUCAUGCACGAAAGCGUGGGGAGCAAACAGGAUUAGAUACCCCUGUAGUCCCUGUCUCUUAUAC